ACGUAGAUCCUUAUGACAAAAAUUGCUGAAAUAGUGAGUUUUCCAGUACAUGCAAUUACGUUCAGGUGCUAUGCAAGUUUUGGAGUAUAAUGGGACGUAUGGCGACUUUUCCUACAUUCUGUAACUCAACAUUUAAAGUUMAGCAUCAGGCUACAAUCUCUAAUACAUUAUUUCAAAAAUGCUAGUGUGGGGUAUUGGAGAAUACAGAGCCAAAGCAGUAAAUAACACUGCCGUAGAUGAAGGUUAUUAACCUUCAACGGCUUUGAGUAGACUUCGCUCUUCAAAACCAAAUAUCUGUUCUCAUCAUAAUGUGGCAAAUCUCCAAAGCACCACCCGGCACCAACAGCAGCCCGCCCCAGGAGAGAACUGACUCGACGACAAGUUAAAUGAAUAAGUUCAAGCACUAGUGAAUAUCAGAUUCAUUGGCCUGCGUGUCCUCAUGUACGUAACAACCAGAAAUGGCAAAGAAACAUAGAUUACAAAACAUUAAACAUGAAUAAAGCAGAAUGCUGCUAAAACUGAUAUAUAUAUCAAUGUUAUUUUCCAAUCUAUAGCCGGUAAUGAUAACAUUUUUAUUUCUUU